rnacentral:rRNA from 1 species
GCCUGAUCCAGCCAUCCCGCGUGAAGGACGACGGCCCUAUGGGUUGUAAACUUCUUUUGUAUAGGGAUAAACCUACUCUCGUGAGAGUAGCUGAAGGUACUAUACGAAUAAGCACCGGCUAACUCCGUGCCAGCAGCCGCGGUAAUACGGAGGGUGCAAGCGUUAUCCGGAUUUAUUGGGUUUAAAGGGUCCGUAGGCGGAUCUGUAAGUCAGUGGUGAAAUCUCACAGCUUAACUGUGAAACUGCCAUUGAUACUGCAGGUCUUGAGUGUUGUUGAAGUAGCUGGAAUAAGUAGUGUAGCGGUGAAAUGCAUACAUAUUACUUAGAACACCAAUUGCGAAGGCGGGUUACUAAGCAACAACUGACGCUGAUGGACUAAAGCGUGGGGAGCGAACAGGAUUAGAUACCCUGGUAGUCCACGCCCUAAACGAUGCUAACUCGUUUUUGGGCUUUCGGGUUCAGAGACUAAGCGAAAGUGAUAAGUUAGCCACCUGGGUAGUACGAACGCAAGUUUGAAACUGAGAGGAAUUGACGGGGGCCCGCACAAUCAGUGGAUUAUGUGGUUUAAUUCGAUGAUACACGAGGAACCUUACCUUGGCUUAUAUGGCAAAUGACAGGUUUAGAAAUAGACAUUUCUUCCGACAUUUUUCAAGGUGCUGCAUGGUUGUCGUCAGCUCCUGCCCUGACGUGUUACGUUAAGUCCUGCUGCGAGGGCAACCCCCGUCACUAUUUGCCAUCAUUAAAUUGGCUACUCUAUUGAGACCGCCUACACAUAUAGAGACUACGGUGACGAUGACAUCGAAAUGUCAUGGCCCUGACGCCUUGGGCCACACACGUUUGUAAAUUGACCAGUGCAGAAGGGAUCCACCCACCGACCUGAUGCACCUCUCUAAUUCUAUAACACUUCGGAACCGCAGUCUUCAACCUGGCCGCUGGGAAGGGAGGAGCGCAGGGCGUCGCGCAUCAGUCCAUGUCGCUAUGCUUACGUUCGCUGGGUCUU